UACGUAGGGGGCAGGCGUUGUCCGGAUUUAUUGGGCGUAAAGAGCGUGUAGGCGGCCUGGUAGGUCAGCUGUGAAAACUCGAGGCUCAACCUCGAGACGCCGGUUGAAACCAUCAGGCUAGAGUCCGGAAGAGGAGAGUGGAAUUCCCGGUGUAGCGGUGAAAUGCGCAGAUAUCGGGAAGAACACCCGUGGCUAAGGCGGCUCUCUAGUACGGUACUGACGCUGAGACGCGAAAGCGUGGGGAGCGAACAGG
rnacentral:rRNA from 1 species